AGCAAAAACUGCUUGUUGAGGGCAAAAGAUGACAAAAGGAACACAAGUAUGAGAUCUAUUAUGCGCAAUGUGAGACAUUAGGGCACAUUCACUUACCCUGACACAGUGAGCAAAGUGCACUUUAGGAUGCAGUCACCAUGUUUUUCUUCCCACAAUGCACCAUUUUCUUCCCCAGAAUUCAUGCAUCAUUACACAAGCAAGUGAGAGUUGAAUCGGACAUAAUUGAGCAGCGUCUGACUCUUCCACAGUGCAUCAGGCGCAACUGUGCCUGAUUCUGCAACACAUGCACUUCAUAAUAAAUAAUACAGAUUUGCUGCAAAUAUUUUUGCAGUCUGUCAGGUAUCAGUUCCAGUGUUCCCUCUUACCAGUUACCUGAGGCAAGCAGUGCCCCUGGGAAGUGCAUCCCCCUGGUCCCCACUGGUGUGGAUAUAUAGAAGCAUAAUUAGAGUGACAACAGAAAGUUACAUUUCUGUACCUAGUGCAUAAAGAGGCAAAGGCCGGAAACACACAGCCCUCCUGUGGUGAGAACUACAGAGCUUCCUAGACCCUGAGCCAAUCCCUUGCCUGCUGGGGAUCCUGACUUCACAUCAGCUGGAAUGACAAGUUUGACAUUACUGAACCACUGGAAACUCCAUUUGCCAAAAGUAUAGCGAUAACUUUUUAUUUACAGUGUUUAAUUAGUAAUAAUAUGUUUUAUUGAAAUCUAUUUCUGAAUAAAUGAUGAACACAGA